rnacentral:rRNA from 1 species
UACGUAGGGGGCAAGCGUUGUCCGGAAUCAUUGGGCGUAAAGAGCGCGUAGGUGGCCAACUAAGUCAGACGUGAAAUCCCUCAGCUUAACUGGGGAACUGCGUCUGAUACUGGAUGGCUUGAGUUUGGGAGAGGGAUGCGGAAUUCCAGGUGUAGCGGUGAAAUGCGUAGAUAUCUGGAGGAACACCGGUGGCGAAGGCGGCAUCCUGGACCAACACUGACACUGAUGAGCGAAAGCCAGGGGAGCAAACGGG